rfam:Eutrema salsugineum unplaced genomic scaffold scaffold_1, whole genome shotgun sequence.
GCUGUUGAACAUGAAGAUCAGAUCGAUCUUAUCCUUGAUGGACUGCUUGAUGAGUACAAAACGAUUGUCGAUCAGAUCAAAGGCCGAGACGUCUCACCGACACUCAUUGAACUCCACGAGCGACUGCUCAACC